AGGCCGGGGCCGAGCGCUCCAGGCUGUGCAGCGGAGGCCCAGGCCCAGGGGAGAAGACAGGAUGGGGGAGGGGGCUGGGGGAGAGGAAGAGGGGAUUUCCGGGAGGGGGAGGGGUAGAAGCCGCCAAGAGGGGCAGAAGGGAGGGAAACCAGCCUGACAGCCCCCUCCCCCGAUCCUCCCUCGAGGCAGGCAGGGUGGGUCAGCUGAAGAGGGGGGGAGGCUCAGCUGGCCUCAUCUGGAAACCAGAGGGCCGGGGAGGGCACGGAAGAAGACAAUGGGGCUGUGUGUCGGUAGGAGAGCGUGUGUACACGGACGGGAGGAGGGAGGAGGGGAGGGAAGAGGAGGAGGGGGCCCGCACCGAGGCUCGAGCAGGAGCAUAUGUGAGGGCAGGACCGGUCCAGGCUGCGGGGAACACAGCAAAACAAAGGGGCCUGCGAAGAUCGCAGGGCUAGGGGCCGCGGAGGACGGAGGCAGGGGACCUUUCAGGCACGAGCCCCGGAGGUGCUCUCGCAGCCUGGGCCCCGCGAACCCUCAGCACACAGCCUCCUGACACACGGCAGCGGCUAGCCCACCUUCCCCGCGGCUCUCGGCGGACGACCCCAAGAUCCGGGGCUCCCUCUUCCGGCCUCCCCACGCCCCGGACAGUGCAGUUCCCAGCGAGGGCUGGAGACUCAGGACAGCUCAGGGCGACCAGAAAUCGAUGGAGCCCUAAGAGCCGAGGGACGGAUAAACAGGGGCGGGAAACGGCGGGGUGCGGGCCCCUCCCUAACGAUCUAGACCAUCCGCGGUAUCCAAGACCCCCAGAGGCGGGGAGGGGCACCCAACAACGGACUCCUGCUUCACUGAAGAUCGGGGCGUCACAGUCCUCCCCGUAUCGUUCGAGCACAAACCGCCCGCGCUGACACCCCCACCCCGCCGUUAGAUAGUUGUGCGCCUGUAGGUAGGUGCGCGACCCGUGGGCAAGUCGCAGUCUUUCUUUGAAUCUGUGAAAUGGGAGAACAAUAGCAAUGUUCCUUCUGGGAACAUUGGAAAGAAGAGAAGGGCUUAGAUGGGUGAAAACUCCGGAGGCUUAAGGCGCCGCGCGGGACAGAGGGUUUUGUCCUCCUCUUCCCAGAAGGAUUCAAAGUUCAAGGCCGAGGCCGCUCUGGCUCGCAGGGCUCGGGAGGUCGGAAGGAGCUCGGACGCUGGAUGGGGCGGAGGGCCUCGGGGGACCGGCCGGGCCGCGCCGCAAAGAUUCGCUUCUCCGGAGUCAACAGCUCGGUCUCGGGGGCCACGUGUCGCUCAGGGGCCCGCGGCUCCAGCCUCCAGCCCUGUAGGAGCUCGCCAGGCUCCUCUGUCC